GGGCGUAUAGCUCAGUGGCAGAGUUUGUGCUUAGUGAGCACAAGGUCCUCGGUUCAAUCCCCAGUGUUCUCC
rnacentral:tRNA from 1 species